GUCGAGCGAAGCGGAUCUUCGGAAGUUUUCGGAUGGAAGAGGAUUUGACUUAGCGGCGGACGGGUGAGUAACGCGUGGGUAACCUGCCUUACACUGGGGGAUAACAGUUAGAAAUGACUGCUAAUACCGCAUAAGCGCACAGGGCCGCAUGGUCCGGUGUGAAAAACUCCGGUGGUGUAAGAUGGACCCGCGUCUGAUUAGGUAGUUGGCGGGGUAACGGCCCACCAAGCCGACGAUCAGUAGCCGACCUGAGAGGGUGACCGGCCACAUUGGGACUGAGACACGGCCCAAACUCCUACGGGAGGCAGCAGUGGGGAAUAUUGGACAAUGGGCGAAAGCCUGAUCCAGCGACGCCGCGUGAGUGAAGAAGUAUUUCGGUAUGUAAAGCUCUAUCAGCAGGGGAGAAAAUGACGGUACCUGACUAAGAAGCCCCGGCUAACUACGUGCCAGCAGCCGCGGUAAUACGUAGGGGGCAAGCGUUAUCCGGAUUUACUGGGUGUAAAGGGAGCGUAGACGGUUUAGCAAGUCUGAAGUGAAAGCCCGGGGCUCAACCCCGGUACUGCUUUGGAAACUGUUAGACUUGAGUGCAGGAGAGGUAAGUGGAAUUCCUAGUGUAGCGGUGAAAUGCGUAGAUAUUAGGAGGAACACCAGUGGCGAAGGCGGCUUACUGGACUGUAACUGACGUUGAGGCUCGAAAGCGUGNGGAGCAAACAGGAUUNGAUACCCUGGUAGUC
rnacentral:rRNA from 1 species